GGACCUUGAAGUAAAAAUAUUAUCUAAGUUCUAUCUGUUCUUAGCAGUUUAAUAUCUGAUAUGUCCUUUAUUUGAGGACUGGAUAUGAAAUUGAUUUUUGAAACGGGGAUGGAAUAGGAGCUUGCACAAGCAAACAGAGCAGGCUGUGUCCCUCACACGUGCACAGCAAUGACUGCACUAAUC